GAUGAACGCUGGCGGCGUGCUUAACACAUGCAAGUCGAACGAGGUCCAUGGUGCUUGCACCGGACGACCUAGUGGCGAACGGGUGCGUAACACGUGAGAAACCUGCCCCGAACUCUGGGAUAACAGUUGGAAACGACUGCUAAUACCGGAUGCCAUCACAUGAUCGCAUGGUCGAGUGAUGAAAGAUUUAUCGGUUCGGGAGGGUCUCGCGGCCUAUCAGCUAGUUGGAGAGGUAACGGCUCACCAAGGCAUCGACGGGUAGCUGGUCUGAGAGGAUGAUCAGCCACACUGGGACUGAGACACGGCCCAGACUCCUACGGGAGGCAGCAGUGGGGAAUCUUGCACAAUGGGCGAAAGCCUGAUGCAGCAACGCCGCGUGCGGGAAGAAGGCCCUAGGGUUGUAAACCGCUUUCAGUAGGGAAGAAAAUGACGGUACCUACAGAAGAAGGUGCGGCCAACUACGUGCCAGCAGCCGCGG
rnacentral:rRNA from 1 species